rnacentral:lncRNA from 1 species
AAACCAAUGCAUAAUGUAAUAUAGGUUUAAAAACAGGUGGAAUCUUUAAUCAAUAUUCUCUUUUAAAAAUAUAUCACAUGAAAAUAAAGUGAAAUAGAAUCUUACUUUUUUUGGCAAACUGAUAAACAAAUAUGAACUAACCAACAGUUGUUUUGUAAAGCACAAUGACAACAACCAUCUAUAUAUUUAAAAAAAACUCUUUAACAAACCCAAAUCGACAUCCGUAAUCUUUUCUAAUCUGUAAUUCUUGUAUUAACAAAUAUGUUGAAAUGCCGACCCAUUAAACAAUGUUUACCUUAAAGGGAUGAUUAUAGGGAUUUUAUUGGAAAUUUGACACCAUUUGAAUAUAAAUCACUGAUAAUAGAACAAGAUGUAUGACCAGCAAAGGUUAUGUAAUGGCACUUUAAGUCACUGUCUCAUGUUUCCCUGGCCUGACAGGCUUGGCUGAGGAAUUUCUCAAUGGUACACCAAAUUUGCCCCCCCCCCCCCCCGGACGUCUCUGUUACAGGCAUUUCUAAUGAUUUGCACAAAUCUGAGGUAAUAUGACUUUAAAAGCCCUUCCGUAUAUCUUCCUCAAAGCAAGUAGACAACUAAUCUCAAAUCUAAGCCAUUCUAGCUGUCCAAUUGGAUUGUAACAUGGGGAGUCAACUCUAGAUAACAUUCAAGGCCCUGUUGCAUAAAAGAUAUUAUAACUUCAGUAACUACCAUGGUAAAAUAUUCACCAACCAAUCAAAAUCAAGGAUUCCAUGGAAGUAACAAUUGGAUGAUGUCAAAGCUAUCAUAACAACAUAUUUUAUGCAACAGGAUCUUAGGUAACCCUGGCCAAGUCACAUCUCCUGGGAGUACCACGACUUAGAAUAACAUGUUUCACAUGAUCAAACAGCCCAUUGUAGAAUGAAAGAGUGGUGUUUACACAAUUCAUCAAAACAAGUCCCAAAUGCAAAUUUCUGAUUAGUUGAAAUAUGAAUUGUAUUGAUUUUAACAAUUAUAUCUGCUUGCAAGUCUUUUUGCGAUUAGCCCAAGAAAAAUUAUUUUGACUUAAUUUAUGAAGGAUUCAUUUGCACACUCAAUUGUGCAAUGAGGGUUGAUUUUUUUUCUUUUAAUUAAAAUUUGUGUUUACUUAAUUUCCAACAGAAUUAUAAGAGCACAAGCAAAUCAAGAGGAACAAAAUCGUAUUUCCAUGAUCCUUUGCACCAUAUCAAGCAACUCCCUUGACAUGUAAAUCAUUAAAGAAAAAAUAUAACAUCAGACUACUAAAGAAUGAAUUUCAGAAGUCUGCAUCAAUUUGCAAAGUCAAAUAAUCAAGGCAAAGGAAUUUUCAGAUAAAAUUUGGGCAAAUUUACCUGCAUACGAAGAGCUAGGGCCUUGUUUCACAUUAUAGUUAUGCAUAAUAAUGCUGACAAAAUCGUUCUUAUCCAAUCAAAUGACACCAUAUCAGAAUUAAAGCAUCUUGUAACCAAGCUAAAAUUUCUCUUCUGAUUGAUAAUAAUCUCUUGUAACGAUAGAAAUUAGUUAGUCGGCAAAAUAUACAUGCAUAUACAACUCUUCACAUUAUAUACAUGAUAUUUAAUAUGUAUAGAUUUUACAGCAUAAGUUUUAGUACUAUAAAAAGAAAAGGGAACCAUGUUAAUAUGAUUCUCUGACAUUAUAUCAUAAUCAAAUAAUUCUACAGGACAAUUGAUGACAGCAAUGAAUGCCAAAGUGAAUAUACAAAUCAUAUGAAACUACUUGUGAUAAAAAUGUUGGCAAGUUUCAUAAAAACAUGACAAUUUUUUUAGUGUGAUGUGACGCCGAGGUGAUCAAACCCCCAUAGCAAAACAUUCACUUCAUAAUCUAAACUCGACAGAAAAUAUGCAACAAAAUGGUACAAAUACCACAAAGAUCUCAUUUGAUGAGUCUUACGUGCAUGGACGUCUUACAGCCAGGAAAAAAAAAUCAAGUCAGCUCUUUAUCCAAGUUUGAGUUUAAAUAAGUUUUUACAAGGAUAAUACUUCCUCCAAGAAUAUAUUACUGAGUAAAAGAAAACUUCUCAUUCAUGAUUAAAAACUUCGGAUAACCCCCCCCCACAAUUGCCACAGUUGUUAUAAGUUCGAACAGAAUCCAAUUAAAUGACCAUCCAUGUAUUUGUACGUAUAUGUAUAAACAAAGAUAAAGAAUUUGUGCCAAACGAUUUGGUACAAAAUGUUGGAAUUGCUGAGAA